UGCUCAUUUGGCGACCACAUACUUCUGACUUUUUCUUAGUUUCCUGUUGCCGUCACCAUCCCUGAUGACGGGAGGCACGCCGCAACGCGUGGCAUCCUCAUGGCCCCGGGCCGCCCCCCUUAUCCCCCUAUCCCUCCUGCCAGUGCCGAGCCGCCUCGGGUGGUGACAGGGGCACCUACGGCGUGGGAAAGUCAGAGCGAUGCAUGGCUGCUGAUGCCGGUGCUCAGGUCGUAGAUGGCGUUGCGUCGGGCGACGGGGCCUGUGACGUGCCCGGAUGAUGUGGAUUGUAACUCGUGCCAAACUGCAAAGUGCACAAGUUGAAGAGCGAGAUUGCCGUGACAGCAGUUGACGCAUCGAUCGGCAUACGCAAGCACUCAGGUACAGUUCUAUUGCUCAUUUUUCGCCAAAGGCGCCACUGACACGCGUGUUCCUCCGCGGUGCUGCAGAAGAGGGUGGGAGCCGAGUGCGCUCACACGGAUCAACUGGACGUUUGCGCAUUCGCAAGGGCGAACACCACUGCAGCACCAGAGGAAGAGGGGCGAAAGCGGUGAGGACACGCGGUUUUGCGGGCACCUGCACAUAUAUGUCUUCUUCAGCCUGUCCUUCUACCACGAACACACCAGCAAAAGCACGCGCAUGCACAGCCACAGCCCACGCACCCACUGCUGCGCUGCGGCGACGUCCUGGUCGUCUAGGAGCAACCGUCAUGCCGUCGAAUCGGGACAUGCGUCUAGCGGGCCCCUCCUCUCCCGCCUCGUCCCCUCUUCGGAUACGUGCCGCGCGGUCGGCGCCUCAUCCGCCCGCACGGUGGGAUGGAGGAGAUGCCGCAUGCUGCGCGCGCAUGCGCUGUGGGCAUAAUCGGCAUGUACUACGGGGCUCCUCUCUCGCUCAUCACUCGCGCUCCCUCCCUCUCUUGCUGCACCGAGAAG
rnacentral:misc_RNA from 1 species